GUGUUUCGGUCAUUUUUAAUGAAGUUUUAGAAUCUUGUCGAACAUCAUCGAGAGAUUCAUCCUUGGUGAAGCUUUUUCAGAAGAUUCCCACUGUUUCUAGGACGAGGUGCUUGUUUACGAGCUUCCUGGAGGCGCCAGCCAGGCGAUCAUUUGAAUAUGAGGGCUUUUUAUUUUCAACGAAACAGGCUUUCGAUGGAGAAAGUUCGAGGCGGAUAGAUAGCGUGUCCGUCCAACAUCACGCGCGCGCGCGUGUGCACGAUUCAGUCCCGGUCAUUGCACGCCUCCCUACGGAUCCCGAUUUUUUGGUUUUCGUCCUUUUUUUUUACGGAGGCCUCUCUUCCUCUUCUUUUCGUCUCCCUUUGUGCUGUUUAAUCCUCAGCCCCCCGUCCCGCUGCUCCAUCGCUUCCUUGCACCGGCUGUCCUCGUCCCUCCGCCGCUUCGCCGCCGACGAAACUGCAUCGCGAUAUUUUAUUGGUUUUAUUCGCGGGAACAUCUGGCGCUCGGACAAAGGGAACUAGCCCUCAGGAAAUCUUCAGGAACGGAGGGUGGUUCGUCCGUUUUCGUUAGCCUGGUCGGCUCUAUUUACUUAUACCUAGUGACGUAGAAUGUUUGUAAACAAUGGCUUGGAGGCAGCCGUGAAUCGCCGAUCAACGCCAUCGUGGAUUAGGCUGCUGUUCCUGUCCAUUGAGGGUGGAUAUCUGGAGCGUCCAAUGGUCGACUUGAUACGUUUCUGGGGAAAGUACGAAGACGUUUUUGAAUCAUCGUGCGACAUUUCUGGUGAUGGAAUAUUAACGACGCGACGGAAAGAUAGAGAGAUUCUUGGAAAAUUGGCUUGCAGGCUUAACGUUUGCUAUACGGAAUAACAGGACUUUCACGAUGGGCAAUCUAAGAUCUGCAUUCUCCACUCUUAAGAAUGACCCUUGAAAGGGAGACUCGAGGCGAUUUGCAUACCAGGAUUUAUUGGCUACGUCGGAGCGCCGAUGAUAAUGUGAUCCGUUCGAAUUUACCGAACCUCAGCGUUAUGCCAGCUUUCUCCGUUUUGUAACAUAACGUAGGAUGGAUCCUUACGGGACG